rnacentral:rRNA from 1 species
UUGCUGGAUGCUGACGAGCGGCGGCACGGGUGAGUAAUGCAUAGGAAUCUGCCCGAUAGUGGGGGAUAACCUGGGGAAACCCAGGCUAAUACCGCAUACGUCCUACGGGAGAAAGGGGGCUCCGGCUCCCGCUAUGGGAUGAGCCUAUGUCGGAUUAGCUAGUUGGUGAGGUAACGGCUCACCAAGGCCACGAUCCGUAGCUGGUCUGAGAGGAUGAUCAGCCACAUCGGGACUGAGACACGGCCCGAACUCCUACGGGAGGCAGCAGUGGGGAAUAUUGGACAAUGGGCGCAAGCCUGAUCCAGCCAUGCCGCGUGUGUGAAGAAGGCCCUCGGGUUGUAAAGCACUUUCAGCGAGGAAGAACGCCUAGCGGUUAAUACCCGCUAGGAAAGACAUCACUCGCAGAAGAAGCACCGGCUAACUCCGUGCCAGCAGCCGCGGUAAUACGGAGGGUGCAAGCGUUAAUCGGAAUUACUGGGCGUAAAGCGCGCGUAGGUGGCUUGAUAAGCCGGUUGUGAAAGCCCCGGGCUCAACCUGGGAACGGCAUCCGGAACUGUCAAGCUAGAGUGCAGGAGAGGAAGGUAGAAUUCUCGGUGUAGCGGUGAAAUGCGUAGAGAUCGGGAGGAAUACCAGUGGCGAAGGCGGCCUUCUGGACUGACACUGACACUGAGGUGCGAAAGCGUGGGUAGCAAACAGGAUUAGAUACCCUGGUAGUCCACGCCGUAAACGAUGUCGACCAGCCGUUGGGUGCCUAGCGCACUUUGUGGCGAAGUUAACGCGAUAAGUCGACCGCCUGGGGGAGUACGGCCGCAAGGGUUAAAAACUCAAAUGAAUUGA